GCUAGGUCGUAAGGUGAUUUUGAUGAGUCAACCUCCUCUCCAAACUUUGAGGAGACACCUACGGCUCUGGUUGAGGUGGUGGCUGCGGAGCUGUAGUCAAAGCAGGAUUCUGUGGGGAUGCCGCUGCGGAAGAUACGGAUGGCACCAUCGAGGAAAUUAUAUGACACAUCACUGUAGGGGGUGCAGGGACAACCUGAGGAGGCUGUGGUGCCACCUGGAAGGGCGUGAGAAAGGUCUG
rnacentral:lncRNA from 1 species